ACAGGUCUACGUCACUGACUGGCGUUAGAACCGGCCAAUCGCUGGCGGAGCUGGGCCACACUGGAAACUUUCUAAGCCAAUCGGGACGCGCAGAACGCGGGAUUUUGACAUGUGACAUCUGAAAACAAAUGCGUGACGUUGUACGGUUGCAGUUGAACGAGGAGUGGCAGCUGUGAUGGGUCUUUAUGACCAGAGACCCCGCAGUUGCCUGAAACAUCAAACUCCACAGAUUGCAGAUGGACCAUCACUGGUCUCCAGCCUGCGUUUGACUCGUCGGUCAGUGGGAGACGUGCUGCUCAACACACUCUGGGAACAAGGGCUGAGCACCCUGCUGGGAUGAGGGUUGUUCUGAUCAGGAGAUCCGUGGCUCGGGACAAGCCAUUGCUUGAUAGAAGACGGUGUUGUUCGGCAAACAGAAGCAGCCUUGGGAGCAUGAGGCGAAAUAGGUGAAGUGGUGCUGGAGGGCAGAGGCAGGGCAGCCCCACUGGGAGCACAGGAAGCCAGCUGAGGUGAGGCCAAGCCUCCAAGACUCUCUGUCCUCUGGACUUUUGCAGGAGUCGUCUCAACUCUGAUGGAAGGUCCUUAACAACAGAAAUGCAUGUUUUAAUUUUUUUUUUAAUUUAACAUUUUAAGUCAAAAGGUAUGAAAGCAGCUCUCUGCAGAAAAACAUUUUAGUGAACCACAUACUAAGCAAAUUAAAUUGCAGAGGCCAGAAAAUUAUAUGCUUAGAUUUCCUGGGUAAAAGGCAGAUAAUCAUAUAAAGCACUAUUUUCAAUGACACUGUAGGAAAAUUCGUCAAUUCUUUACACUGAUCAAAGACUGGUUGAAAUACAUACUUGUGGGAGACUUCGGCUGUGCCCAGCCCACAAGGUUGCCAUCACCCACUGCAGACUCCGUUCCAUCCGUUUCCCGGUGAAGCCUCCAAAUCCGAAAUGUGUGGUCAUCAGAACAGGAAGCAAUCUGCCAACAUCGCAGCUGAGGUUAUGUAGAUUCCAAAUUCUUUCCUUUCUUUCCUGGCCUUUGUAAGACUACACUUUAAAGCAGCAAAAUUCAAAACCUAUAACCCGAUCCUCGAAAGGGAAGGAAAGCCAUGUAGCUGGAUUAUGUUGUUCUGACCAUUCCUUAAAAAAAAAAAAAAAAAAAAAAAAAUAUUGGAAUUGGCUGCCUUACCUUGGUAAAAUCUGUUGGGCACCAUGCAACAGACGUCACUUCCUCACUAUGCCCCUGAAGUAUCAUGGGAGGAUGUUGAGGAUCAGAGAUCUGGAAUUAAAAAAAGUUAAAACAUAAAACAUCUCAUUAGCCUCAAACAAGGACAAAUAAAAUAUAAAAGGGCAAAUUUAAUACUUGAAGACAAUAUUACCUUCCAUAUGUAUGUGUGAUUAUCACUUGACCCACUGGCCAAGAACUGAUCAUCUGGGCUGAUAGAGGACUUUAUAUAAAAUGAAGAGUUCUGGUGGCCACUGAAAACUGCCACUGUGGAACAAAAUGUAAAUUAUUAAAGCCUCAAGCCGCACUGCAAUGAUAUUAAUGUCACAGUGUUUUACAAAAUGGAUGCCUGGCAUGCAUUAAUCAAUCUGGUGCUAGUUGUGACUUAAGCUUGCAUAAGCACACAAAGCAUCUGUGUGUUUCCUCUGUACUCGACAAGGCCCUGUUGCUUUACCUUCUACAACACUAUAUUUGUUUGCAGCCCCAUCUAGUGACAUGCAAUGGUAACAAAGCCGAACUGAAAAAUGCAUAUUUUAGAACAGGUCCAAUAAAUACUGCUUGCAGAGGCUGAGACUUUA